GGUCAAUAGCCUAACGGCUGAACCAGCAACUUGGAGGAAUGUAUAGCAAUAGCUACUUGCAUCAUCAUUGUACAGGUGAUGCAAGAUCGACUAUGUUGAAUAAAAUUCUAGGUAGAAUUAUGAUAAUGACAUUGUCUGCCUAUGUGUCUUGACCAAAUUACGUGCCAGCAGUCGCGGUAAUACGUAGAAGACUAGUGUUAUUCAUCUUUAAUUGGUUUAAAGGGUACCUAGACGGUAAAUCAAGCCUCGAGUAACAGUAAGGGACUAAUUUACUAGAGUUACUUAUGAGGGGGCUAUAAUGUACUGCUGGUGUAGAGAUGAAAUUCUGUCAUACCUCUUUAAAAAGAUGGCACAGGUAUAGGCGAAAGCAUCUCCUUAUGUGAUAACUGACGUUGAGGGACGAAGGCUUGGCGUAGCGAACAGGAUUAGAUACCCCAGUAGUCUAAGCAGAAAAUGAUGAAUGUCAUAGAUUAGAUAUAUAAGUUUAUUCUAUAAAUGAAAGUGUAAGCAUUCCACCUCAAGAGUAAUUUGGCAACAUUGGAACUGAAAUCAUUAGACCGUUUCUGAAACCAGUAGUGAAGUAUGUUGUUUAAUUUGUUGGCCCUCAAAAAACCUUACCACAAUUUGAAUAUUUAUAUCUUUUAUUGUUUUUCUUUUUAAUCUUCUUAUUUUUUUUUCUUGUUGUUCUAACAAUAAACAUAAAUUAAAGAAGAAAAAGAGGCAAUAAGAUAUAUUUACAAGCGUUGCACGGCUGUCUUCAGUUAAUGUCGCGAGACUUUGGUUAGUUCCAUGAAAUUAACGUAAACCCUUACUUUAUUUUUAUAUAGAGUAGUUCCCCGCUAUAUUGGAUAUGAUAACAGGGACUAAGACAAGUCAUCAUGGCCUAAAUAUUGUGGGCUAUAGACGUGCCACGUAGGCCUUACAAAAGGGUGUGAAAUUGCGAAAUUGAGCUAAUCCCCCAAAACUGGGAUAAACACUAACAAUGGA
rnacentral:rRNA from 1 species